UUAUCGUAGUAUUAUAGUUUUAUGUUUACUUAUUUUAAUAUUUUUAACUUCCUAGAUGCUGUAAACAAUAUCAAGAAUGCAAUAACAACUUAUUGGAGGCAGAUCAUGCUUUUUGCCUUAAUGUUCCCGCUCCUAAACUUUGCAUUCCUUUAAAUCGAGAUGUUAAAUGUGGGUAUGCAGACAUUUGUUGCUCUAAUGCUUCAGCUCCGAAACUUAGAGCUCAUCUUUCUGAAAGUGAAAGCUGUGAAGAUAUUUGUUGCUCAAAUGUUUUAAAAGAUCAUAGAGAAAGCAAAACAGACAACAGUGGCAAAUGUGAAAAAUGUGAUCACAUCCCACCUCCAUUGCUACGUUUUAAUUACUCUACAAGAGAUGGUGAACAUGAUGAAUCUUCUAAUUUGGCUAGGUACGAAACGACUUACAAUGCAGAUUAUGGAAGAAAGUCCCUUAUGAAAAUGAUCCACGAAAGUAAUUACGCUAGAGAAGAUUCCCCUCGAUUUCUUGAAAUUUAUCCUUAAGUCUGCUGAUAAAUGCACAAAUAUUUCAACAAUUACU